AGGGAUUAGCUAGGGUUCCAUCCAGCCCAGCCCGGGGGUGGUGAUUAUUCCCCAUCCACGCUUGGCUUCCCACCCUAUAAAGCGCUCCUCGAUCCAGACCUUUGCCAAAAAUAACAAGGCGCAGAGGCAACCUCGAUUCGACGUGCGCUUCCUCCUCGCUCGCGGGUACCUUUCCGUCAUCGUCUCGUCUUUCAGCUAGAUCUCUCCUGCUCGAUCUGCUCAGACCGCGCUGCAAUUUUUUCUGCGACCCGAUCUAAUCUAUUCACGGAGAUGUCUGACGUUGAGGAGUACCGUUGCUUCAUCGGGAACCUGUCAUGGUCGACAACUGAUGAGAGCCUCAAGGAUGCAUUCGGCAAAUUUGGAAACCUCACUGAGGCAAAGGUGGUUCUUGACAAAUUUUCUGGCCGCUCUCGUGGUUUCGGCUUUGUAACAUUUGAUGAGAAGAAAGCUAUGGAAGAUGCUAUUGAAGGAAUGAAUGGACUGGACUUGGACGGGAGGAACAUUACUGUCGAUAAAGCUCAGCCACAAGGGCUUGGUAGAGAUCGUAAUGGUGACCGUGAUUAUGACCGUGGAUCUCGUUAUGACCGUGGCCGUGACUAUGGUGGUGGUGGUGGUGGUGGACGUGCACCACGUGGCGGCGGCGGCGGGGGGGACUGCUUCAAGUGUGGAAAACCUGGUCAUUUUGCUAGGGAGUGCCCAUCUGGGGAUGGUGGGAGAGGGGAUAGAUAUGGUGGCAGAGAUGACAGGUAUGGCGGCGGCGGCAGUCGUUAUGGAUCUGACCGUGGUGGUGGUGGUGACCGAUACUCUGGCCGUAGCCGAGAUGGUGGCAGCUACGGGGGCGACCGCUACAACCGUGACCGGUCUGGUCCCUACUGAUGGCCUAGAUCUUGAGCAGUAUGUGCCAUCCAGGUAUGAAAUCUAUCUGCUAUUAUAAAGGUUUGUUAUCGUGUGUCUGGAACUUUGUGAUCCUGUAGCUGGAGAACUAUGAUGUACCGUGAGAAGAUCAUGCUUUGUUAUAGACCGUAUUACUGACUGGUUUGUUAUCAUUUCCUGCUUGCCAGGCAUAUGACUUGGUCAUAGUGCUUGGCUCUUGGAUCCUGCUUGUUUUGCUUGAUAUGCUAUUUGGCUGGAUUUUGUCGCUGUGUGUUGAUGGUCUCGAUCCUAGUUAUGCUUAUGGGGAUGCCUGGGAUAUGGGGGUUGGAUGGCAAGUUACUGUUCACGUUGUGUUCUUUCUGGGGAAUCAAGGGAUCGGCUGAAUUCUGCUUGAACACACGUACAAGAAAAAUCAUCUCUUCUGAAAGCAAGCUAUGAAUCAUCCAUAAGGGAAAAAUUAAAUGGCUUCUUUUUGGUUAUUUGUUAUCUUGUUCUGGAUUGGUUGCUACUGUCAUUCUGGAUUGGUUACUAGUGUCCUGAGAUCAUUUCAGUUGCCCCAUCUUAGUCUGGCGAGUGGUUCCACGAUUGCAAAGUGUUCUGAGGACCACUGCAAAGAUAUUCCUCUUUUGCUCUGUUGCAUGUACAUUCGCAUUGGAGGACCUGCAGUGUAGCAUCCUGUUUCUGCCUGCACCUCGGGGGUGGCUUGAUUACGUGGCUGUGGUUCAAGUGAUUUGUGACUUGCUCGUGCCGCUGCCUCUGGGGGUGUUCAUUUAGCUGCCCCGUUUCUUGUGACUUUGUGAGAUCAGGGAUCAUGCUUAUUCAGCCUGAGUGAAUGUGAUACUAAAUAGUUGCUGUUCUUUUGACACUGCACCCAUGGUCUAUCGCUUAUUCUGCCCUGUUAUAACCACCGCUGCCCUUUUGAAAGGAGUUCCAUUGAUGUUAUGCUCCGUCCACAGAAUUUUUAUUGGUGGAUCGUCAUCUCAUGGAGUACAAUAGCCUUUAUUUGCUUGUCUUGAGAGAGCACCGGCGAUAAUGCUUCAGCGGCAGCAUUCAAAUUGUUGCACCUAGGAUACAUUAGUCUUAACUUUUUUUUUCCUUUCAAGACUGCCGGCAGAAGGUUAUCUUUUGCUGUUGAUUUAUUUUUUUUACCCUCUCAAUACUGCCGACAGAUGGUUCAUCUUUUGCUGUCGAUUACUAGCCAGUUGAGCUUAUGUACUCACGUACGGCACAACAGCUGUAACAUUUCGCCCAUUUCUUGAACAAUUCGGUUGAUUUGUACUGUGCAAGUUGUGAAUUGAGCAGAUCCAUCUUGUUUUUCA